rnacentral:rRNA from 1 species
GACCAUCUCCUAAGGCUAAAUACUCUCUAGUGACCGAUAGUGAACCAGUACCGUGAGGGAAAGGUGAAAAGCACCCCGGAAGGGGAGUGAAAUAGAACCUGAAACCGUGUGCUUACAAGUAGUCAGAGCCCGUUAAUGGGUGAUGGCGUGCCUUUUGUAGAAUGAACCGGCGAGUUACGAUUUGAUGCAAGGUUAAGCAGUAAAUGUGGAGCCGUAGCGAAAGCGAGUCUGAAUAGGGCGUUUAGUAUUUGGUCGUAGACCCGAAACCAGGUGAUCUACCCUUGGUCAGGUUGAAGUUCAGGUAACACUGAAUGGAGGACCGAACCGACUUACGUUGAAAAGUGAGCGGAUGAACUGAGGGUAGCGGAGAAAUUCCAAUCGAACCUGGAGAUAGCUGGUUCUCUCCGAAAUAGCUUUAGGGCUAGCCUCAAGUGAUGAUUAUUGGAGGUAGAGCACUGUUUGGACGAGGGGCCCCUCUCGGGUUACCGAAUUCAGACAAACUCCGAAUGCCAAUUAAUUUAACUUGGGAGU